GAAGUGCUUGCGUCACAAGCUGCUGGUCCCAGCAGUCCCUAAAGGAGUCAAAGGUGAAGGAAAUGCUGGAAACGUGCCUGAAAGGCCAUGCUGUUGUACCUGGGGCCGGAAAUGCCAGGUCACAGCCCUUCCCGCAGACUCCUGGCCGUGCAGUGGAGGGUGGAAAAUAUGUGUCCAAGGACUGAUGGAAUGAGAUUUGUAUUUCAUGGCAAGGACAUUAGGAUGUGAAAUAAAAUUCAUAUUCUAUGGCAAGACAAGAAAAAUUUAAACAUAAAAGGUCUUCUCUGCCCUUUGGCCCCCUCUCUUUCCUGUACUAUGCGUCUGCCCAUCUGCCUUGUGCAUGGACCAAACCUCUACCAUCCACAGAAAUACCUGCUCAACUGUAAAGAACAAUGUUCUCCUAGCGUCAACACAAGACAACGCCUUAAAAGAUAACAUUCCUUCCUGAUCUUCCAAGGGCUCACAUGACCCACCUCAAUGGCGAUUAGAUCUGGAUCAUGUGAACUGUCAAUAAUACGUCGCUUUGAUGCACCGUCCUCUGUCUCAAAAAGCUUAUGUGAAUUGCAUCUUGACUUCUAAUGAGCAGGACGGUUCUUGGAGCUUUCUGAGAAUCUCUUCCUAGA
ensembl:lncRNA